rnacentral:rRNA from 1 species
AUCUACGGCCAUGCCGCCCUGAACAAGCCCGAUCCCGUCUGAUCUCGGCAGCGAAGCCGGGUCGGGCCGGGUUAGUACUUGGAGGGGAGUCCAGCUAGGAAGACCAGAUGCAGUAGGCA